rnacentral:rRNA from 1 species
AAUGACGGUAUCUAACGAAUAAGCACCGGCUAACUCCGUGCCAGCAGCCGCGGUAAU